rnacentral:lncRNA from 1 species
GUGAUUUUGGUGUAAGGAUAGAAAAAUAGGUAUGUGUUUGAAAAUGUGCAGCGCUCUAGUAGCAUUUUGAAGGUGGGGCCAAAGAUGUUAACUAUCUUCCAAUCAUGGGAUAAUCCUCAACAACCAAGAAUUGCGUCAAAGGCUAAAAGCACCGCUGUGGGGAAUCACUGAGUCCUAGUCAACGAUAUUAUAAGGCAAAGGAAAUACAGAGACAGGGAUGUUGAACCAAAUGAUCUUCAUGCUCUCUCAAGUGCACUUUUUUUAUACAUGGAAGUUUGGGCUCAUGUUUUAUACUCUGUUAUGGUUGCCUUGCAGUGGGCAUGAGGAACAUAUCCACUUAGGGAUGACCUAUUAUAUCCCCAUUGACUUCAAUACAGCACCACAAGGCUUCAAUACCAAGAGCACUAGACAAGGUCUGUUUUCACGCUGCUGAUAAAGACAUACCCCGGGCUGGGCACUUUAAAAAAGAAAGAGGUUUAAUGGACUUAGAGUUCCACGUGGCUGGGGAGGCCUCACAAUCAUGGCGGAAGGUGAAAGGCAUGUCUCACGUGGUGGCAGACAAGAGAAGAGAGCUUGCACAGGAAAAUUCCCGUUUUUAAAGCCAUCAGAUCUCGUGAGACUUAUUCACCAUCAGGAGAACAGCACGGGAAAGACCCGCCCCCAUGAUUCCAUUAUCUCCCACAGGGUUCCUCCCACAACACAUGGGAAUUUGGGAGAUACAAGAUGUGAUUUGGGUGGGGAUACAGAGCCAAACCAUAUCACAAGGAUACAGGUCAUUUUAUUAGAAAGGUCAAAAACUGGUCUGAUGUCAAAGGGGCGGUAGAGACGGAAAAAGAGCUCAGGGCUUCUGAUUCUCACUUCAGUUCUAACACUGAAAUGGGAAGUUUGAAAUUUCUUGAAAAUUAGCAAAUAAGUAAUAUAAAUUAGAACAGUAUACGCUUUCUCCUUAAAAACAGCACAAUAUAAAGUGAACGCACAUUUCUCAAUGUGCGUUCACUUUUUAUUGUGCUUUUUUCUGUUUUCAUUCAGAGCUUAAGAACGUGGCCUCUGGAGUCUGACUUCCUGGAACAAAUUCCAGCUCUGCUAUUUCUGUGGUGAAGGCACAAUUUCUUCAUCCGUACCAAGGGGGAAGAAUAGGAUUGUUUUGGGGAUUAUAGAAGAUAAUUUAUAUCAAGCCCUUACCAGUGCCUAGAAUACAGUGAGUCCUCAAAUGUUAGCAUAAGUUUUGUUUAAUGUCUGCCUACGUGCUGAGAUCCUAAUGAAUAAAGCAUGCAUUACAGUACAAUUAUAAGCCU